UACGGAGGGGACUAGCGUUGUUCGGAAUUACUGGGCGUAAAGCGCACGUAGGCGGAUUUGUAAGUCAGGGGUGAAAUCCCGGGGCUCAACCUCGGAACUGCCUUUGAUACUGCAAAUCUCGAGUCCGGAAGAGGUGAGUGGAAUUCCUAGUGUAGCGGUGGAAUGCGUAGAGAUCCGGAAGAACACCGGUGGCGAAGGCGGUCUGCUGGGCAGUUGCUGACACUGAGGCGCGACAGCGUGGGGAGCAAACAGG
rnacentral:rRNA from 1 species